CAAAUAAUACUGACGUGGCAUGCUGAAAAAAAAUAACAAAAAUAAUCAAUUUGAAAUCGUAUUUCCAUUUCCCCAAAUCCAGAGUCUUCCAUUUCCCCAAUUCACGCAAGAAAUAUCUUCCCCAAACCAAUCUUCCUGUACUCCCGGUUAUCGUCAUCGUCAAUGUAAGCACCCCCUUCAUCGUCGACGCCAACAAUUGCUGCCUGUGAACAGAAAAUCCAAUGCCGCUGAACUCGCCUCCCUCUCCUACCACACUCCAUCAGGUUGAGAAUGUAAAUAGUUGUGUUCGUAUUUUAGCUACAUUUUUCUAUGUCUUCUUCUAAAAUGUUGAAUUUUUCAGCGGUCAUCAUCUUCUAAAGUUUUGUUUCUGGAUUUACCUUUACUUAUUUUGUAUUCUUCUAAAUUCCUUGUCACCAAUGUUGAAUGAUAUGAUGUGCAUAAUAUGAUUUUGUUAGGUAGAGUGUUGAAUUUUUUAGGAGUCGCCGUCUUCUGAAGUUUUGUUUCUGGAUUUAGGUUUUUUUUUUUUUUUUUUUUUUUUUUUGUAUUCUUUUGAAUUUAAUGUCCCCAUUGUUGAAUGAUAUGGUCUGAAUAAUAUGAUUUAUGGUUACAAAUUUGCACACAGAAUCAAUUCAUUUGUUAACGAGCUUAGGUUGUUGCUAAGGUUUUUCACAUGGAUAAUGAGGUUUAGGUUGUUGAUGUGGAAUUUUGCAACUGAGAUGAAUUCAUCUUUGUUUAUUUGUUUGUCCAGCCCGAAUCGACUGCAAUGAGAGGAAGGAAUUCAAAAGUUUGUCACGGUUGCAAAAGCAACACUCAUUACUUUACAAUGCAAAACAAAGAGCCAAUGCCCUUCGUGUAAACAUGGAUAUCGCAAGUGUUUUGAGGUUGAACGGGAUACUAGUAACAAAGGGCAAUUGUUCUUUACCUGUUGUAAUGAUUGUGGAUAUUUUAACUGGGUGAAAGAAGAAGCGGUGAAUUAUGAGUCCAACGUGGAAGAUUAAGAUUUGCCAAGACUCUUUGACGGUCUAGCUCGAAUUAGGGAGAAACGAGGUGUGGACAUAUCAAUGCACUUGAGCUUCAGCAAGGAAAAGGGCAUUGCGAAGUGCGAUGGGAAAGAAAAGGGUUUGACUUGAACGGUUUAUUUGAUGUAUGGGUAAUCUUAUCAAAAUUGGUCAUUGUACGAACGACUGUGUAUUGGAUUCGUCCUAAUAUAUGUCAUGGUUGCUAGAACCUUUACGAUAUACUUGUUCUCAUUUUUAUUUGUAAACAUCCCGGCUGAAUCGUUUAACAAGAAAGGCUUGUGAUUAAAGUCUUCUAAUGUUAUUAUGCAGUCUUCAAUGUUUGUUGUAUAUUGUGUCACUGGUUUAUAUUGUACAUCCACUCAGUUUCAGCAAUCUAGCCCGUUAUCCAUUUGUUGUUGCAUUCAGGUCUUUCUAGUUACAGUAAAUAUAUAGAAUAUAAGGCAUUUAUCUCAAUCUUUAUGCUAACAAUCCAUAGUCUAAUGUGUCCCCUUCAUUGCAAAGUUCGACAAAGUCAUAAGCCACACAUAACAAUUUUUUUUCGAUAACGGCAAAUGGAUUGGAAAACUAAAAAGACAUUGCUUUUCCAACCUACCAAAGAAAGGGAAAGCAGCAAGGAUAGGAAUUGACUGCAGAAUGUGUUAUACGACAACUUGAUGACAAUAAGAUGAUUCCCUCAAGUUCCAUACAAAAAUACAAUCUUCAAAACAAUUACAAAUUGACUGCAAAAUAUGUAAAAAGUUUAACCGCUGUCGGCUUGACAAUUGAACUAGCAAAAACCAAUACUUUCAACAGCAUGGAAUUUUCUAAAAGUCCAAGUGAGUCAUCACUAGAUUUUUAACAAUAUAUUUAUAUGCAGAGGGCCUGAUUUACAUGGGAAAAAUGGAAUGAUGAAUGACAAAUAUAAAAGGGAGAUGAUGAAGCAACUUCAGAUAACAGAUCUGUGUUUUGAACUAGAGCUACUUUCUCUAGACUAGAGUUGGGGCUUGAACUGGACAGUAAUAUAAGAAUGCAUCACAGCCUAUAAGUUUACAAGAUAAACGAAAAAAUUAUUAUCAAAAAGAUAAUUGAGUACAAAUACAGAAACAUAGAUUUCACGAAUAGACUCAAUCAAUCAUUAAUUCAAUGACAAGAAAUAUAUAAUAGAAAUUUAUUCAAAAGAGAAGAAGAUUCCAUAGGCCAGCUGUAAUAAGGACAAAUAUUGUUGAGUGAAUAAUGGGAUAUACAAAUCUGACAAAAUAUUAAUAGUGUAAACAUGUUGGAAAUGGAUAUCCUUCGAAAAAUUAAAUUUAACUUCCAACAAGGGCAUACACCUUAUUUGUUACCAAAUAAUGAUAAGGGCAGAAACUAUUAUAUAUUAGUGAUUUAAUGACUAAUUGAUGCUUCAUAAACUAGAAACAUAGAUUUGGUAAAAAUUUAAACCAUCCGAGGACAAAUGAAACAUUCCUUCAAUCAAAGAGUCACAAGCGUGUGUGACCUUCAUUGGGCAAAUGUUGAUAGUAGUAUGGCAUGACAUGAUCUAAGUGAAAAGAUAGCAGCUACAAUGUCGCAAUAAAUGAAAUGAUCAUACAUAAAUACCUACAAUACCUGACCAAUGUAUUACCUCCAGUAUUGACUAUAAUAUUUGUUGGUGGCAAGGUUUGACUGACAUUGUAAGCCUACAUGAGAAAACACAAUUUUUAGCAACUUCAACCAAGUAGCCGCACUAAUACAAUGUACUCACCAAUGGGUGCUGUGAAUAUGAAAAUGGCGAGGGCACAAAACACUGUGAUGUUUGAGAUGCAUGGACAAUUGUUGCUCCCUCUUGUGUACAACGAGGCCUAGCUCACGAUAUUUUUCCCUUAUUUGAUGCUGAAGUGGUCUACAAGUUCAUCAUUAAAAAUAAUCAUUUUGUGGCCUAUAAUUCGCAAUAUAUUAAGAGGAUAACUAUGAAAAAUAUCUUCUCCAAUGGGCCUUUCCGCCGACGUUUCGUUGGCGCACCCUUUCGGCCAGACAAUACAGGGUCUAAUAUGCUGGCACUACUAGUAUUUUGUGAAUUGUUACAAGUUGAGGGCAAGUUCGCAUUAUUUAGCGGACGGCUAGUGCUUCCAAUAUUCGAUAUCGACAUCCGCAAAUAUGAUGUUUGAGAUUUUAUCUAAUCCAUUACAUUACAUGUUAACCCAUUGUCGUUUGUCACGAGGUCUGCGACCUCUGAAAAGCUCGAACACAUGUCAUCAUAUCUCAUCUGCUGGGGGUACUCACCAGUCCGUCAUAAUUUAUCGCUAAUUUAUCACAACCCUUGAGGGUGUUCUACUUACAUCUCUCUUCCAUCUUUUGAGUAUGUACCUAUCUCGCAUCGUCGUAAUGUUGUUGCGAAUCAAUACUGUGAUCGCAUGCCUGCAAAGGAUAUCACAAAACUCAAACAAGUGGCAACUACAACUCAAUUCGCAUGACUCCCUCCGAAAUGACCCGUAAAAAGUUUUUGUUUUUCCUAUGCUCCUGAUAUACGACAUAUUCUCGCACAUCGUAGGUCGUCGAAAAAUAAUCAAUGGUAUUUUUAAAUAAGAUGUCACAAUAUACAUUUCCAGUUAACUCUUGUUGAAAUUCUUUAAACUUCAUAAUGGUAUAGACCAUUUGAAAUUGCUUUUCCAUCUCAAAAUAUGUUGCACAAAGCACCAUUUGGGAAAAGGACUUGAAAUCGACUUGGAACUCCUUUUCAACCUUACUUCUUAGUGCUCAAACAUAUUGUUCUACGAAUUGCUUCAACGAGGUUUUUGAAUGCACUUACCUAUAAAAAAAUGCAUUUAUACUCUCCAAACGUUGGGUUGUUGACAUCCCUGCCCAAAAUGUGGUCUUCAAAUAACAUGGAACCCAACGAUCCUUAUUCUCGUACAAUAUCGAUAACCAAUUACUAUCAUAUAAAUCAUAUGUGGCGAGCAUCGUUCUCCAACCUUGUUUGAAUUCUUCAACAAUAUCUGAAUCAUAUACCAAUCUAUGUAUAGCAGCGAAAAUCGAGCUUUUUUGAAUGUGGUAGCCAAAUUUUUCUGGCAAUUUUUUUAUAAUGUGCCACAAACACCAUUUGUACUUCGUUGUAGGCAAAACAAUCUCAAUGGCAUUUUGCAUUGCCUAGUCUUGAUCAGUAAUGAUUCCACUAGGAGCUUCACCAUAAUGCACUCAAGUCAUGUUCUGAAUAACCACACAAAAGUCCCUGUGUCCUCAUUUAAUAACAACCCACAGCCGAACAGUGUACUUUGUCCAUGAUGAUUUACCCCAACAAAUGAGGUGAAGGGCAUGUCGUACUUGUUUGUGAGGUACGCAGUAUCGAAAGUGACAACAUCACCUAAUUCUUUGUAAACUUGCCUACAUCUAUUAUCUACCCAGAAAACAUUCUUUAGUCUUGACUCAUCAUCUAAAUCCAUACUAAAGAAAAAUAUCGAGCACCAGUAUGCCUGUAAUGCGAUGGCAUCUCCUUCUCCAAGAUGUAAUCGUCUCACUUCUUCAACAUAAUUCCGACAAUCCCUUUCCACAAAAGUCAUAUUCUCAUAUCCACCGGCUUCCACAACUGCAAAAUUGUAACUCUUUUGUAAGGAGAUUCCUGCCAUAUCAUUCAUUUCGAGUUUUCGCUUCACACUCACACUCAAACUUCAGUUGCAUCAGUACAAUCUAAACUUCGUGGGACUUGUGUUAUGAUUAUGCUCAAGGUAUACUUUGUUAAUUCUCCGAAUUCCAAGAUUAUCUAACGAUGCAAAUAUUCUUACUUUAUAGUCUGUUUGACAUUUUGGUUGCGGCUUCAUGGAACUGCCUGUAGCAUAAUUUCUUCAACCUUCACGACUACACGUGAACAUCACAUAUCUCAUAACUCCAUCAUCACCCUUUUUUGAAUUCCUUCUUCGAACUGGAAAGCCUACAACGUAAGCAUAUCUUUUGUAGAACUCCAACAUUUCUUUCUCGUCAUUAAACAUCAUGCCCACUUCAGGUGGAUUCGCAACAUCUCCUCCUAUGUUCUCAUUGCCCAAUGUGUUCAAAUUAUCCUGCAUAUUCUCGUCACAUAGUCGACCAACAACUCAUGAUUAUCAUCUUCUAUUAUUUAUUUUCCUGAGUAGCGUAAAAAUUGAGAGAUGUAUAAGUUAGUAGUGCUCGUUAACACCAUAACCGUGUCUAUUUAUGUACAGAAAACAACAAAGAUAUAUGCAUGGAGAUAAUCAAAAUUACAAUUUCUAGUGCAGCCAAAUGAAUAUCAAAACAAAGCCAAUUCUGUUGAAUUUAAUUUUAAUCCCAAUAUUUGGAGCACCCUAAUUUUCCAACAUAGACUAUGCACAAAAAACAAUUAAAACAGAUCAUUCACAAAAGAAGUUAGAACCUUAAACAAAACUCAACAUACGGCAUGCAAAACUGAACGCAAGUUUAAGCUAACCCUCCUCCAUUGCAGCCUGGUCAAUUGCUUACCCACCCAAUAAACAAA
rnacentral:lncRNA from 1 species